rnacentral:rRNA from 1 species
CGGCGUGCUUAACACAUGCAAGUCGAACGGAAAGGCCCUGCUUUUGUGGGGUGCUCGAGUGGCGAACGGGUGAGUAACACGUGAGUAACCUGCCCUUGACUUUGGGAUAACUUCAGGAAACUGGGGCUAAUACCGGAUAGGAGCUCCUGCUGCAUGGUGGGGGUUGGAAAGUUUCGGCGGUUGGGGAUGGACUCGCGGCUUAUCAGCUUGUUGGUGGGGUAGUGGCUUACCAAGGCUUUGACGGGUAGCCGGCCUGAGAGGGUGACCGGCCACAUUGGGACUGAGAUACGGCUCAGACUCCUACGGGAGGCAGCAGUGGGGAAUAUUGCACAAUGGGCGGAAGCCUGAUGCAGCAACGCCGCGUGCGGGAUGACGGCCUUCGGGUUGUAAACCGCUUUCGCCUGUGACGAAGCGUGAGUGACGGUAAUGGGUAAAGAAGCACCGGCUAACUACGUGCCAGCAGCCGCGGUGAUACGUAGGGUGCGAGCGUUGUCCGGAUUUAUUGGGCGUAAAGGGCUCGUAGGUGGUUGAUCGCGUCGGAAGUGUAAUCUUGGGGCUUAACCCUGAGCGUGCUUUCGAUACGGGUUGACUUGAGGAAGGUAGGGGAGAAUGGAAUUCCUGGUGGAGCGGUGGAAUGCGCAGAUAUCAGGAGGAACACCAGUGGCGAAGGCGGUUCUCUGGGCCUUUCCUGACGCUGAGGAGCGAAAGCGUGGGGAGCGAACAGGCUUAGAUACCCUGGUAGUCCACGCUGUAAACGGUGGGUACUAGGUGUGGGGUCCAUUCCACGGGUUCCGUGCCGUAGCUAACGCUUUAAGUACCCCGCCUGGGGAGUACGGCCGCAAGGCCAAAACUCAAAGGAAUUGACGGGGCCCCGCACAAGCGGCGGAGCAUGCGGAUUAAUUCGAUGCAACGCGUAGAACCUUACCUGGGUUUGACAUGGAUCGGGAGUGCUCAGAGAUGGGUGUGCCUCUUUUGGGGUCGGUUCACAGGUGGUGCAUGGCUGUCGUCAGCUCGUGUCGUGAGAUGUUGGGUUAAGUCCCGCAACGAGCGCAACCCUUGUUCACUGUUGCCAGCACGUUAUGGUGGGGACUCAGUGGAGACCGCCGGGGUCGACUCGGAGGAAGGUGGGGAUGACGUCAAGUCAUCAUGCCCCUUAUGUCCAGGGCUUCACGCAUGCUACAAUGGCUGGUACAGAGAGUGGCGAGCCUGUGAGGGUGAGCGAAUCUCGGAAAGCCGGUCUCAGUUCGGAUUGGGGUCUGCAACUCGACCUCAUGAAGUCGGAGUCGCUAGUAAUCGCAGAUCAGCAACGCUGCGGUGAAUACGUUCCCGGGGCUUGUACACACCGCCCGUCAAGUCAUGAAAGUUGGUAACACCCGAAGCCGGUGGCCUAACCGUUGUGGGGGAGCCGUCGAAGGUGGGACUGGUGAUUAGGACUAAGUCAU